GUUUAGUAGCUGAAGCCUGUUGGCCUCUGGAAAAGUGCAAUUGUAAUGUCAGAUGACUCAGCUCACCAGGUGAGCAAGAGGGUCUGUGCCUCUGCAAAACAAAGAAGUGAAAAAUUAAGAUGUAUUGCAGAGUGGUGCCUCUGUUUAUAGUUGCAGUGGCAACCAGGCUGACAGUGAAAGCAGGGGAAAAGCCCUCAGCACUCAAAAGGAAACUGAAAGAAUUGAGAAGAAAGGAUGGAUAACUGCACAGGAGAGUUUGUUUUCUACAAAUCUUCUGGCACUCUGCACAUCUCUCCUGGAGGCCUGUUGUUUAGGGGGCAGCAUCUGUGUGGUGCCAGGAACCAGGAAGCCACUUCUCAACAUUCAUGGGUCAUGGAUUCCUCUCUCAGUAUUCAUGUGACUUAUUUAUAAGUUUGAGCUAUGAUAACUACUGUGCAGCCAAGGAUGAUGACAUUGGGAAGUGGCUUCUUGAGUAAUUAUUGCAUUCUUUGAUCUUUAAUGCACAAGCUCAGGUACUCAGAUACACAGAGCCCUUCUGCCUGCAUUAUAAUGGCAUCUUUCCACCUGAUGAGUAUUUUCAUUGUUA
rnacentral:lncRNA from 1 species